UGCUUAGAAAUCAGAAACUCACAUGAAGCAAAUAUGGUAAUGCUGCAUUGGAUUGCAUUUUCUUAGGCAAUUUGAGUGUCGUUCAUUAGGAAACAAUAUCUUUCUUAAUAGACAAUUUAUGUAUUCUGGAAAAGCAAGUAUAGUGUCUAUGUUCAUUUGCAUCCCAGAGUUCCCUAUUUAAAUAUAUGCUGGUAAGAUAAAUCAAAUGUACUGAAGGUGGAUAAAAAUAAAACUGAGAAAUCAAGUAGAUACGAGAGCAUGGUCUAUCUUGGUUGUACAGAGGGCAUGGCCUUGUGGCAUGGAAAUAAGAGCAAGGCAAGAAAGUAUUACAAUAGCGUACCUCUCAGUGAUCGAUUACUGUAAAUUGCUGAUACUGCUAGUAGCAAAAAGAUUAAUGUAGUUGAGCCACUGAACUAAAAAUUAAAUCGAUUUGGAGCUGAUGAAAUAUGAAAAGAUGAAAGAGUGAGGACACAAGGCGAUGAUUUCUAUUGGAGAAGGAUAAUUAUAUGAUUUCUAUCUCCACACACAUAGGAGGAAGCCAUACUUUUCCAAAAAAUAAGUAAAAAGAAAAGAAGGAUCAGAUUGAGAAGGCUAUCAUUUAAAUCAGGUUUGCAUGUGCUAUUUGCCUGAGAAUUCAGGAUACACAAUUUAAUAUCUUGUUGCUACAUUUGUC
rnacentral:lncRNA from 1 species